GCUAAGUUUGAUGGCGACCGGCGCACGGGUGAGUAACACGUAUCCAACCUGCCGAUAACUCGGGGAUAGCCUUUCGAAGAAAGAUUAAUACCCGAUGGCAUAGUUCUUCCGCAUGGUAGAACUAUUAAAGAAUUUCGGUCAUCGAUGGGGAUGCGUUCCAUUAGGUUGUUGGCGGGGUAACGGCCCACCAAGCCUUCGAUGGAUAGGGGUUCUGAGAGGAAGGUCCCCCACAUUGGAACUGAGACACGGUCCAAACUCCUACGGGAGGCAGCAUG
rnacentral:rRNA from 1 species